rnacentral:rRNA from 1 species
AUUGAACGCUGGCGGCAGGCCUAACACAUGCAAGUCGAGCGGAGCGGCGGACGGGUGAGUAAUGACUAGGAAUCUGCCUGGUAGUGGGGGAUAACGUCCGGAAACGGGCGUUAAUCUCGCUUACUCUCUGAUGAGCUUAGGUAGUAUUCUCGAGUUGUUGGGGUAACGGCCGACCAAGGCGACGAUCCGUCACUGGUCUGAGAGGAUGAUCAGUCACACUGGAACUGAUACACGGUCCAGACUCCUACGGGAGGCAGCAGUGGGGAAUAGUGGACAAUGGGCGAAAGCCUGAUCCAGCCAUGCCGCGUGGGUGAAGAAGGUCUUCGGAUUGUAAAGCACUUUAAGUUGGGAGGCGUUACCAACAGAAUAAGCACCGGCUAACUUCGUGCCAGCAGCCGCGGUAAUAC